UCUCACCUGAAUGCAUGACUCUUCAACCUCAGGACUUGCAGAAUUAAUGGAAUGCCGUCCUAAGGUUGUUGAGUUGUGCGUUUCUGGGC
rnacentral:pre_miRNA from 19 species